GAAAGCUGGUUCCCAGUCAACAGAAACAUCACCACCAAGACCAGGCAAGACAUUCAGAUCAAAAAUGUGCCUGCAAGUCUUCAUGUAUAACCUUUGAGAGUCCACAUUUGUCUUCUAGUUAGAGACAUUGGGGAUCUCCUUGGUAAAGGGGGUGCUCCAACCAAUAACAAAAGGACAUUUCUAUAUGGCUCUUCAUUCCCAAUGCUCACUCCCCAAGGCUGUGGGGAACUGUCAGCCUAUGCACUUCAGAGAUUACCUAUGUAUUCAUCCCACCUGAGAUCUAGACCCCAGGAUCUUCUUCUGUGAAAGAAAACCCCAUUCCUCCACUUCAGGGGGAAAAGAACCCUAUGGGCUGUGUCCUCCACACUGGUACUCCUACCCGUCCAGAACUUGGGCCUGUUCUAAUUAAAGACACACCCCAUGAGGAGUAUGGGUUAAAGGUCAUGUUUACCUCCAGGAGAGGGGGAAUCUGAGCAGAAGCCAGUUCCUUAUGUAAAGCUGGAUUUCUCAGAGAUCUUUCUUAUAAGUAGUCUCAAAAAUUGCUGAUUUUUAUAAUGUUGUUAAAGUCAUCUUUCUGGCUCAUGAGAAACUAUAUUGAAAGAAUAUCAGAAAUAACACCACAGAAAAAAAUAUUUUAACUAGAGCCCUACGGUCAUCAGUGAGUUCGAUUCCCAGAUUUGCUUUUUAAAACUCCUUGCUUCAUAAAUGGUUGAUUUGAGGGCCAUGAACUGUUCACUUCACAUUUUUCUAGUAUUAACUGUUUGAAAUUUUAAAAUAUCUCGUAGUAACUGUUUAGAAUGUAUGUAAAUAAAGGGCUGCCGGAAUUUCUCAAGGGGAAUAAAGCAAUUUACUUCCUAUGUCAGCAUAGGCUUUCUCUUUUGGUUCCUCUCACACGUUAUUUGAUGGGGCAACCCCAGGAUUUUUU
rnacentral:lncRNA from 1 species